UACGGAGGAUGCAAGCGUUAUCCGGAAUGAUUGGGCGUAAAGCGUCCGCAGGUGGCUGUGUAAGUCUGCUGUUAAAGAGUCAUGCUCAACAUGAUAAGAGCAGUGGAAACUACACGGCUAGAGUGCGUUCGGGGCAGAGGGAAUUCCUGGUGUAGCGGUGAAAUGCGUAGAGAUCAGGAAGAACACCGGUGGCGAAAGCGCUCUGCUAGGCCGCAACUGACACUGAGGGACGAAAGCUAGGGGAGCGAAUGGG
rnacentral:rRNA from 1 species